UAGAGUUUGAUCAUGGCUCAGGACGAACGCUGGCGGCGUGCUUAGCACAUGCAAGUCGAGCGGUAAGGCCUUUCGGGGUACACGAGCGGCGAACGGGUGAGUAACGCGUGGGUGAUCUGCCCUGCACUUCGGGAUAAGCCUGGGAAACUGGGUCUAAUACCGGAUAUGACCUCCUAUCGCAUGGUGGGUGGUGGAAAGAUUUAUCGGUGCAGGAUGGGCCCGCGGCCUAUCAGCUUGUUGGUGGGGUAAUGGCCUACCAAGGCGACGACGGGUAGCCGACCUGAGAGGGUGACCGGCCACACUGGGACUGAGACACGGCCCAGACUCCUACGGGAGGCAGCAGUGGGGAAUAUUGCACAAUGGGCGAAAGCCUGAUGCAGCGACGCCGCGUGAGGGAUGACGGCCUUCGGGUUGUAAACCUCUUUCAGCAGGGACGAAGCGCAAGUGACGGUACCUGCAGAAGAAGCACCGGCUAACUACGUGCCAGCAGUCGCGGUAAUACGUAGGGUGCAAGCGUUGUCCGGAAUUACUGGGCGUAAAGAGUUCGUAGGCGGUUUGUCGCGUCGUUUGUGAAAACCAGCAGCUCAACUGCUGGCUUGCAGGCGAUACGGGCAGACUUGAGUACUGCAGGGGAGACUGGAAUUCCUGGUGUAGCGGUGAAAUGCGCAGAUAUCAGGAGGAACACCGGUGGCGAAGGCGGGUCUCUGGGCAGUAACUGACGCUGAGGAACGAAAGCGUGGGUAGCGAACAGGAUUAGAUACCCUGGUAGUCCACGCCGUAAACGGUGGGCGCUAGGUGUGGGUUCCUUCCACGGAAUCCGUGCCGUAGCUAACGCAUUAAGCGCCCCGCCUGGGGAGUACGGCCGCAAGGCUAAAACUCAAAGGAAUUGA
rnacentral:rRNA from 1 species